UUGCCCGAUGAUUAUAAAAAGACGCGAAAGAGGACUUGAAGCUGGAUUCUUUUCCUUUUUCUCUCUUCUCUACUCUUUUCUCUAUUUCCUUUUCUCUUUUCUCUACUUUUCUCUAUUUCCCUCCCUUCCCACUUUCCUCUGCUUCUUUUUCUCUCUCUGGAUGUCCAGCGUCCUAUGAGCGAAGAUUAUGAGAUAUGAGGGCAA